rnacentral:rRNA from 1 species
GAUGAACGCUAGCGGCGUGCCUAAUACAUGCAAGUCGAGCGAAGCGGGGACGGGUGAGUAACACGUGGAUAACCGCCUAUAAGACUGGGAAAACUUCGGAAAACCGGAGCUAAACCGGAUACUUAUAGAUGGAUCCGCGCCGCAUUAGGUAGUUGGGAAGGUAAAAGCUUACCAAGGCAACGAUGUGUAGCCGACCUGAGAGGGUAAUCGGCCGCACUGUGACUUAGAAACUGGCCAUACUCCUCCGUGAGGCAGCUGUAGGUAAUCUUCCGCGAUGGUGGAAGGCCUGACGGAGCCACACCGCGUGUUUGUUGAAGGUCUUCGGAUCGUAAAACUCUUUUAUUAGAACAGCGGUACCUAAUCAGAAAGCCGCGGCUAACUACGUGCCAGCAGCCGCGGUAAUAC